UCGAGGAUCUUCGGCAAUGGGCGCAAGCCUGACCGAGCGACGCCGCGUGCGGGAUGAAGGCCUUCGGGUUGUAAACCGCUGUCAGUGGGGAGGAAGGCCCGGUGCAGAGCCGGGUUUGACCUAUCCGCAGAGGAAGUGUGGGCUAAGUUCGUGCCAGCAGCCGCGGUAAGACGAACCACACAAACGUUAUUCGGAAUUACUGGGCUUAAAGGGUGCGUAGGCUGUGCGGAAAGUUGGGCGUGAAAUACCUCAGCUUAACUGAGGAACUGCGUUCAAAACUACCGUGCUUGAGGGAUACAGAGGUAAGCGGAACUUAGGGUGGAGCGGUGAAAUGCGUUGAUAUCCUAAGGAACACCGGUGGCGAAAGCGGCUUACUGGGUAUCUUCUGACGCUGAUGCACGAAAGCUAGGGUAGCGAACGGGAUUAGAUACCCCCGUAGUCC
rnacentral:rRNA from 1 species